UGACCAGGGAUUUUCUUCUGGAGCUUAGGCAGAAAAAGAAAGCGUAUGGCUGCUCUAAGCAGUGUCAGACAACGUGGAAGGAAUACAGGGACUCUGUUUGCGUUUGUAGGGAGAAAAUUCAUGCAGCCAAAGCCCAAUUAGAGUUGAAGUUGGCCAGGUCUGUGGGAGACAAUAAAAGGGGUUUUAUAUAUAU